rnacentral:rRNA from 1 species
AGCUCAAGCUUAAAACCCAAAGGACUUGACGGUGUCCCACCCAUCUAGAGGAGCCUGUUCUAUAAUCGAUUCUCCCCGAUACACCUCACCACUUCUAGCCUCUCAGCCUGUAUACCUCCGUCGCAAGCUUACCAUAUGAACGAAUCUUAGUGAGCUUAAACAUCAACCAUAAACACGUCAGGUCAAGGUGCAGCCAACGAUGUGGGAAGCAAUGGGCUACAAUUUCUACCAAUAGAACAAACGAAAGACCACAUGCAACUCGGUCAUGAAGGCGGAUUUAGCAGUAAAAAGAAAAUAGAGAGUUCUUUUUAAUUAGGCACUGGGACGCGUACACACCGCCCGUCACCCUCUUCAAAUGAAACCCCCACAGUUUUUAACUUCAUUGCUCACCACAGAAGAGGUAAGUCGUAACACGGUAAGCGUACUGGAAAGUGCGCUUGGAUUAACAAAGUGUAGCUUAACCAAAGCACCUCGCUUACACCGAGAAUAUGUCUGUUAAACUCAGAUCACCUUGAAAGCCUAAAACCUAGCUUUAAAACCUCCCCCAAUACCCCCACCCCCAAUUUUCCCCCCACAAUAAAACAUUUUCCAUCAUUUAGUAAAGGCGAUUAAAAAAUGUCUUAAAGCCACAAAAAUAGUACCGCAAGGGAAAGGUGAAAUAGAAAUGAAAUAACUCUUAAGCCCCAAAAAGCAGAGCUAAAACCUCGUACCUUUUGCAUUAUGGUUUAGCCAGUCCAACCAAGCAAAAUGCACUUUCAGUUUGACCCCCCGAAAUUAAGCGAGCUACUUCAAAACAGCCUUUUAGGGCAAACCCGUCUCUGUUGCAAAAGAGUGGGAAGAUUUUCAAGUAGUGGUGAUAAACCUACCGAGCUUAAAGAUAGCUGGUUAUUCAGGAAAAGGAUUUUAGUCCUACCUUAAGUUUUUUAAUAACCUUAAAUAUUCUUAUAAACUUAAGAGCUAUUCAAAUAAGGUACAGCCUAUUUGAACUAGGGUACAACCUAAUACGAUGGGUAACGACACAAGUCUUAUAAUCAAGUGGGCCUAAUAGCAGCCACCUUUAAUAAAAGCGUUAAAGCUUACUUAUAAUUUUAACUCAAUACCCCCCACCCAAACGAAACCCUCCAUCUAUACUGAAUGACUUCAUACCCUAUGAAGGACCAUAUGCUAAAACUAGUAACAAGAAGAAGACCUUCUCCAAAAUGCAAGCGUAAGUCAUUAUGAACAACUCACUGACACUUAACGUUUUUGAAUCUAAAGUAGUAACUUAUCAAGAAAAUUCUACUAGACAUCACGUCAACCUUACACCAGAGCAUUACCGGAAAGAUUAAAAGAAAGGGAAGGAACUCGGCAAAUAUUAACCCCGCCUGUUUACCAAAAACAUCGCCUCCUGACUACUCUAUAGGAGGUCUAGCCUGCCCAGUGACUUAGUUAAACGGCCGCGGUACCCUAACCGUGCAAAGGUAGCGCAAUCACUUGUUCUUUAAAUGAGGACUAGUAUGAACGGCAUCACGAGGGUUACACUGUCUCCCCCCUCUAAUCAGUGAAACUGAUCUCCCCGUGAAGAAGCGGGGAUAAACAUAUAAGACGAGAAGACCCCAUGGAGCUUUAAACUCAGUAUCACCUGCCCUACUCUAUACCCAUUUAAUCAUGCAGUUUUGAAUACUAGUUUUCGGUUGGGGUGACCGCGGAGUAAAACAAAACCUCCUCGAUGAAUGGAACAAUACUCCUAAUCCAAGAGCUACAGCUCUAAGAAUCAAAAAAUUGACAAAAAUUGAUCCAAAUAUAUUUGAUCAACGAACCAAGUUACCCUGGGGAUAACAGCGCAAUCUACUUCAAGAGCUCCUAUCGACAAGUGGGUUUACGACCUCGAUGUUGGAUCAGGGUAUCCCAGUGGCGCAGCCGCUACUAAAGGUUCGUUUGUUCAACGAUUA